AUUAAACGCUGGCGGCAUGCCUUACACAUGCAAGUCGAACGGCAGCACGGGGGCAACCCUGGUGGCGAGUGGCGGACGGGUGAGUAAAGCAUCGGAACGUAUCCUGGAGUGGGGGAUAACGUAGCGAAAGUUACGCUAAUACCGCAUAUUCUGUGAGCAGGAAAGCAGGGGAUCGCAAGACCUUGCGCUCUGGGAGCGGCCGAUGUCGGAUUAGCUAGUUGGUGGGGUAAAGGCCUACCAAGGCGACGAUCCGUAGCGGGUCUGAGAGGAUGAUCCGCCACACUGGGACUGAGACACGGCCCAGACUCCUACGGGAGGCAGCAGUGGGGAAUUUUGGACAAUGGGCGGAAGCCUGAUCCAGCCAUGCCGCGUGAGUGAAGAAGGCCUUCGGGUCGGUAAACUCCUUUUACAGGGAAGAGUGAGGACGGUACCCUGAGAAUAAGUACACGGCUAACUACGUGCCAGCAG
rnacentral:rRNA from 1 species